UUUUCCCUACGGGGGCAGCAGUCGAGAAUCAUCCACAAUGGGGGAAACCCUGAUGGUGCGACGCCGCGUGGGGGAAUGAAGGUCUUCGGAUUGUAAACCCCUGUCAUGUGGGAGCAAAUUAAAAAGAUAGUACCACAAGAGGAAGAGACGGCUAACUCUGUGCCAGCAGCCGCGGUAAUACAGAGGUCUCAAGCGUUGUUCGGAAUCACUGGGCGUAAAGCGUGCGUAGGCUGUUUCGUAAGUCGUGUGUGAAAGGCGCGGGCUCAACCCGCGGACGGCACAUGAUACUGCGCGACUAGAGGAAU
rnacentral:rRNA from 1 species